CCUACGGGAGGCAGCAGUGAGGAAUAUUGGUCAAUGGACGAGAGUCUGAACCAGCCAAGUAGCGUGAAGGAUGACUGCCCUAUGGGUUGUAAACUUCUUUUAUAUGGGAAUAAAAUGUUCCACGUGUGGGAUUUUGUAUGUACCAUAUGAAUAAGGAUCGGCUAACUCCGUGCCAGCAGCCGCGGUAAUACGGAGGAUCCGAGCGUUAUCCGGAUUUAUUGGGGUUAAAGGGAGCGUAGGUGGUGUGUGAAGUCAGUUGUGAAAGUUUGCGGCUCAACCGUAAAAUUGCAGUUGAAACUGGCAGUCUUGAGUACAGUAGAGGUGGGCGGAAUUCGUGGUGUAGCGGUGAAAUGCUUAGAUAUCACGAAGAACUCCGAUUGCGAAGGCAGCUUACUGGACUGCAACUGACACUGAUGCUCGAAAGUGUGGGUAUCAAACAGGAUUAGAUACCCUAGUAGUC
rnacentral:rRNA from 1 species